AAUGCUCUUUUUGCAGAUAAUGCUGUGAAGGCUUUUAAAAGGGUAGAUAAAUAGCAAGAGACCAGAGUAUGCAUGAGAGUGGACAAAAGCCUAGUAAUCUGGUAUUUUUCACUUGGACUUUGUCUUCAUUUGCUUGCUAACCCCAAACAGACCUUCCUUUUUCUGCCUAUCAGCAAUGUGUAAAUAAAUCUCUCAGUGCAUUCUAUAAAUAGACACAAUUCCUUCAUUAUAAAUGACCUUUCUACUCUCAGCUUGGUUACACAGAACAUGAACUGUGUCCAGGUGGAAGUCAUAGGAUGUAGCAUCUUGUGAGAGUCCACCUAAGCAUGCAGGCAGCAUGAACUAAGCCACGCUUUUGAGCUUUCUGCUCACUUCAGAAGCUACCAGGCAACAAUUUGUGGAGCAGAAGGUUGCAACUUUCCCUCACCCAGUCCCAAGAUUCUGCAGGACUGACUGCUGGCCAUGCAGCCACUGGAGAGGAAAGAAACCCAGUGAUGCUCAUGGGAUUUCAAAGCGGAGCAUUGGCUGGUCUCUGUGGUCUGGACCUGGAGGACUGCACCCUUUGUCAGAAUUCCCUUCGAUACUUGGUUACAGAGUUCAACAAGACCAUUUAACUGGCCAUGAAGCAGGCAAGCUGGUGUUUUGUCUUAAUGAUGAACAUGGACUGGACUGAAACAUUAUGUCCUGGGUCCAAGGAGAGCGUGAGUAUGCUACAGGUCACUUACUCCUUCUGCAAGUAACUGUGUAAUCAAAUCCUGAGAGAAUGGGAGGGAAGGAACCCAGAAGAAGAGGUUAAAAAGCAAUCCUCCACUCUGAGAAGUAAAGCAGUAGAAUAGGGUGCACAGCUGGCAAAACUGUGGAGAGAGAAACAGAGAAAGAUAAAAAAAAUGAAUCUUCAGAUUUUAAGACUACAAUUGAGGAAUGAAAGUAGUUUCAAAUUGGCUGAACAAAAGGGAGGGAAAAGUUAAAAUAAUGAAAUAGUAAAUCCCCAUGGGCAAACUAGAAGAUCACAGUCAAGAUCAAUGAAAACAAAUGAUAAGCAGAAAAAGCAAACCACACAAAACAUUCCUAUUUGUAAGCCAGAACAAAUGAUCAGGACAACAACUUGAGAUGCUUUUCAAAUUUUUGAAGGAAGGAAAAUGGCUACAGAAAUAGUGAGAGGAACAAUUUUAGAAACUGAUAGUGGAGAUGAAAGGCUUCUCUUCAACAGUUUCUGUGUAGUAAUCUAAAAGUUUUGCUGUUCUAUGUUUACCUUCAAAUGAGAGCAAACAUCAUUUAUUUUGAUUUAUAUGUAUUUGCAUUGUAUACGUGGUAUAUGACGGCUUUAUUUUAAAUAAUAAUUUGUCUCUGUGGAAUCGUAAUUUUUGUUCAUUAGUAGCCAGGUAGAUUGCAAUGCAGUAUCUUGACAGAGAAGUGGCAACUCCAUGCACCACUGCUCUAGCGGAGGUGGAAUGAAGCCUAAGGAGUACCAACCUUGUACUGACAACAGAGCCUUGUCUUGACGACAGAGCACAGGUAUUCUCCUUUACCUAACAAGAGUUUGUAUUUCUGGAGCAGGGCAAUCUGGUUCGCAACCUUACUGUCCCCAGUAUAUUUUUUGUAUACACGGUAGUAACAAACAUAGGACUGUGACAUCCAGGUCACUCACCUGUCCUCAUCCAUGGAGCAGGAAAAUCUCUUUAUGCUGGAAAGCAGCAAAAACAUCCAGCAAAGACAUUCAGCUUCAAACUCAGCUGCCUGGAUUUCCGAGUCUUUGACGAUGUGUAUGCCUAAGUUCCCAUUAUAGUCACUGGAGCCUACUCAGCUCACCAUGUACAUUUAUUUUAGGAAGAGCUGAACAGCUCUCUAGACUGAGUCUAGACUCAAAGCUUAGCUGCUGAAGAUCUCAAUUAACUAUAAUGGGAGUUCAGACACCUUGCUGGUGCAUGGACAUCUGAGUGUAGGAGCCUGAAUCUGCAAGCUGAUGUCCCGCUCUUGGGGUGGUGUAGCCUGGGCAGAGCACGGGGGAGUCCCUUGGGAGUGGGGUGGGUGGACACACGAUGUUCUUGGCAGCUCGGGCUCCAGCUGCCACCCAAGCCCUGCUACCAUCAUCCUGCACCAGGAGGCUGCACGGCCCCCACCAACAGUCAGCAGGCUGGUGAGGUUUGUUCUUGCGCUGGGGUCAAGUGUCUUGCGUAAUGAAGAACUCAGCAGGUACCAUUUUACUUAGGAUUGGCGGCGUUUUUUCUACUGAGGGUAGACAUACUGAUUGAAGCCUCUGUGUUUUAUAGCCCCUGCAUGCAAAAACAUCUCGCUGUCAUUCAUCAGGCCUUCAUAAUUUCUGCUAAAAGAAUAAACUGGGCCAUUGGAAAAAUUAGAAAUAAAAGGUUAGGUCAUUUUAAGGACUAAUUAUAAAACCCAUGACCGUAUUAUUUAACAUCCAGUUCACUUUAAGUCUUUUAGCAACGCUCCCUCCUGUACUUCCUGAACAUGUUCCUACAAACAAGUUUUCUGGAGGAGUAAGGGCUGACUCAGGGAGUUUGAAGCUCAGCUGAGAGGGGAGAGUUACUUUUUGUGUUUAUGAUUGUGUUUGCUGCUGUGCCUAAUAGGACCCCUGAC